GGGGGAUAAAUUAAUAAAGUAUAAAUAAUAAAAAAAUUUUUAAUAUUAAAAUAUUUUAAUGGGGGUUAAAGUAUAUUUAAUAGAAAAAAUAAAAAAAAUUUAUAGAAAAUUAGUAUUGUAAAAGAAAUUUGAAAUAUAUUGAAAAUAAAUUUAUUUAAAAGUAAAUUUAAUUUAUUGUAUCUUGUGUAUCAGAGUUUAUUAAUAAUAAUUUUUUUUUUUAAAAAUUUUCUCGAAUUUAAAAGAGAUAAUUAAUUAUUAAAAUUAAUGUUGUAUAAUUAUUUUAAAUAAUUAAUUGGAAAUGAGAUGUUAAUCGUUUUUAAAUAUAUCUAGUUUUUUUAGAAAAAAAUUUAAUUUUAAAUUUUAAAAGAAAAUAUAAUUUUAAUUAAUUAAAAUUAUAUUUUUAAAAUUAAAUAUUUUAAGGGAUAAGCUUUAAAAUAAAUUUUUAUAAUAAAUUUUAAUAAUAAUAAUUAAAAUUUUUAAAAUUUAUAUUGUUUAUAAAUUAUAAUUUUUUAUAAAUAAUUUUAAUUUAAUUAAAAUUUCAAAAUUUAUUUAAUUUUUUAUUGAAAAAUAUUUUUUAAUAAUUUAAAUUUAGAUAUAAUGAUAAAAUUAGUAUAUAAAUAGAUAAAUAUAAUUUAUUAUUUGAUAAUUUAAUAAAAGGAAUUCGGCAAAAAUUUAUAUUCACUUGUUUAUCAAAAACAUGUCUUUUUGAUUAAUAAUUUAAAGUCUAAUCUGCCCACUGAUAAUAUAUUAAAGGGCUGCAGUAUUUUGACUGUACAAAGGUAGCAUAAUCAUUAGUCUCUUAAUUGGUGACUUGUAUGAAGGAUUUGAUGAAAUAUAUACUGUCUCUUUUUGAUUUAUAAAAUUUAAUUUUUUAGUUAAAAAGCUAAAAUUUAUUUAAAAGACGAGAAGACCCUAUAGAGUUUUAUAUUUAUAUAAAUUAAAAUUUUUUAUAAGAUUUAAAAUUAAAAUUAAAUAAAUUAUUUUAUUGGGGUGAUAGAAAAAUUAAAUUAACUUUUUUUAAUAAUUUUACAUUAAUAUAUGAAUAAAUGAUCCAUAAUUUAAGAUUAUAAGAUAAAAUUACCUUAGGGAUAACAGCGUAAUUUUUUUUUUUAGUUCAAAUAAGAAAAAAAGUUUGCGACCUCGAUGUUGGAUUAAGAUAAAAUUUAAAUGCAAAAGUUUAAAAUUUUGAUCUGUUCGAUCAUUAAAAUCUUACAUGAUCUGAGUUCAAACCGGUGUGAGCCAGGUUGGUUUCUAUCUUUAAAUAAAAAUAAUAUUUUAGUACGAAAGGAUCAAAUAUUAAAAAUAAUUUUAUAAAAAUGAAUAUUAUUAAUAAUAUU
rnacentral:rRNA from 1 species